rnacentral:rRNA from 1 species
GACGAACGCUGGCGGCGCGCCUAACACAUGCAAGUCGAGCGGGAAGCUUUUAAGGAUUCUUCGGAGUGAAUUAAAAGUGGAGAGCGGCGGACGGGUGAGUAACGCGUGAGAAACCUGCCCUAUACAGGGGAGUAGCCAUUGGAAACGAUGAUUAAUACCCCAUAUGACCACGAGUAAUCGGCAGUGAUACAGCGGUGAAAACUCCGGUGGUAUAGGAUGGUCUCGCGUCUGAUUAGCUAGUUGGUGGGUAACGGCCUACCAAGGCCGACGAUCAGUAGCCGGCCUGAGAGGUGACCGGCCACACUGGAACUGAGACACGGUCCAGACUCCUACGGGAGGCAGCAGUGGGAAUAUUGCACAAUGGGCGAAAGCCUGAUGCAGCGACGCCGCGU